ACACGCAUGACACACUGCAUAUCAAUAAGCGGAGGAAAAGAAACUAACAAGGAUUCCCUUAGUAACGGCGAGUGAAGCGGGAAGAGCUCAAAUUUGAAAUCUUCAAGGUUUUACCUUGACGAAUUGUAGUUUAAAGAAGUGUUUUCUGUUGAAGUUUCGGUAAAAGUUCUUUGGAAUAGGACAUCAUAGAGGGUGAGAAUCCCGUAUUUGACCGUUACUUUCCAGCUGUGUGAUACACUUUCAAAGAGUCGGAUUGUUUGGGAAUGCAGUCCAAAAUGGGUGGUAAAUUUCAUCUAAAGCUAAAUAUUGGCGAGAGACCGAUAGCGAACAAGUACCGUGAGGGAAAGAUGAAAAGAACUUUGAAAAGAGAGUUAAACAGUACGUGAAAUUGCCAAAAGGGAAGCGUUUGACACCAGUGUUGUUUAGUUGAAAAUCAAUUCAAUAAUUUUCGAUUUUAAGUAGUAUUGACUUCAUCAGCUUGCUGCUUUCUUUUCAGGAAUUAUUGAAUGCACUUUUCAGUUAACAAGUCAACAUCAAUUUCUUUUGUUGUAAAAGGGUAAGAGGAAGGUGGCUUACGCUUCGGCGUAAGUGUUUAUAGCCUUUUACCUCUGCAAUCGGAGAGAUUGAGGACAGCAGCGUAGACUCCUUCGGGGGUUAGAUACACUUGUGCUAAGCUAUAGCCUUGUAUAGACAACUUGUUGACUAUGCUCAGUCAUGUAGCUUACUCGCUUGUGCUAUUUUACCUACGCUUAGGAUGUUGAGCGCAUGUCUCUCUCU
rnacentral:rRNA from 1 species